UGGGGAAUAUUGGACAAUGGGCGCAAGCCUGAUCCAGCCAUGCCGCGUGAGUGAUGACGGCCUUAGGGUUGUAAAGCUCUUUUACCUGGGAAGAUAAUGACGGUACCAGGAGAAUAAGCCCCGGCUAACUUCGUGCCAGCAGCCGCGGUAAUACGAAGGGGGCUAGCGUUGUUCGGAUUUACUGGGCGUAAAGGGCGCGUAGGCGGGCGAUUAAGUCAGGGGUGAAAUCCCACAGCUCAACUGUGGAACUGCCUUUGAUACUGAUUGUCUUGAGUCCGGGAGAGGUGAGUGGAACUGCGAGUGUAGAGGUGAAAUUCGUAGAUAUUCGCAAGAACACCAGUGGCGAAGGCGGCUCACUGGCCCGGAACUGACGCUGAGGCGCGAAAGCGUGGGGAGCAAACAGGAUUAGAUACCCUGGUAGUCCACGCCUUAAACGAUGGAUGCUAGCCGUCGGGCAGCUUGCUGCUCUGUGGCGCCGUUAACACAUUAAGCAUCCCGCCU
rnacentral:rRNA from 1 species